rnacentral:rRNA from 1 species
GACGAACGCUGGCGGCGUGCUUAACACAUGCAAGUCGAACGGUGAAGCUCCAGCUUGCUGGAGUGGAUCAGUGGCGAACGGGUGAGUAACACGUGAGCAACCUGCCCCUGACUCUGGAAUAAGCGCUGGAAACGGCGUCUAAUACUGGAUACGAGAAGGGUCCGCAUGGGCACUUUCUGGAAAGUUUUUCGGUUGGGGAUGGGCUCGCGGCCUAUUAGCUUGUUGGUGAGGUAAUGGCUCACCAAGGCGACGACGGGUAGCCGGCCUGAGAGGGCGACCGGCGACACUGGGACUGAGACACGGCCCAGACUCCUACGGGAGGCAGCAGUGGGGAAUAUUGCACAAUGGGCGAGAGCCUGAUGCAGCGACGCCGGGUGAGGGAUGACGGCCUUCGGGUUGUAAACCUCUUUCAGCAGGGAAGAAGCGAAAGUGACGGUACCUGCAGAAGAAGCACCGGCUAACUACGUG